AUCACUUCUCAAUUUUUGCCUAAGAUCAAGGGUAGUAUCUCUUCUUAUCAGUUUAAUAUUUGAUAUGUUCUCUAUCUGAGGACAUAAAUGAAUUUCUGGAUCUAGAAGUUGAAAUAAGAUCUUGCUCCAUUCACUCCAUGUAUUGAUCUGGUAUACUGCGGUACCACCAGGUAUGGUACACCACUG